CAGAAGUUGAAGACUGUGUUUUAACAGAAACAUUGUUGUUUCUCAUUUCUCCUUCCUAAAAUUUCCAACACCACCACAAUGAACAAUCAAGCAAAAUAGAAGAGGAGGGCGAUUGGUGAGGCUCAUGAGGGGCAUUAUAGCGAGGGGCAAGAUAUAGUUGAUGAAAAAUCAUAAGUGAAUCAAACAGAUCAAUGUUCCCUUUUCUUUUUUCUCAAAGUCAUUCUUCGUCUCUGAGUUAUCGGCUUUCGUCUUUUGCCGGGCUAGCGGCUCCCUCUGCUCCUCGGGGCUGGGGGAGUCUUCGUCCUCCUUGUCCCAAAUGUGGGUCGCCUUCCUUACCUUCGGGGCGGGAUGGUUGUGAAUAAAUAACUGAGUUUUUGAGUAAUUUUGAAGCAGAUUUGUGGGUAUUUGACGAAGGUUUUCUUGAUCUGCAUCUGAAACUUUGUAUCUGGUAGUUCUGUUUAGAUUCUUGCAUAUGUUUGGUUAUUGAAGUUGCCUUUUCGUCUGGGUGGCUGCAUGCAGGGAAGGCUUCUUGAAGAUGGCUUACCUUUCUGCUGUUUGAAGCUUUCGUUCAGAUGGGUCCUCUUUUAGCUGCGUGUGCAUCUCUUGGGGAUGCUCCCGGUACGAUCCUCUUGAUACCCAGUCUCUCAAUGACUACUAGAGCUAAAGAGCUCUGCCUCUCGCCUGUCUGCUUCCUCUCUCCUGUUCAUUCCAAGGUGCUGUAUGUUUAGUCUCCUUAUCGUGAUCUAAGUGUGCUGGUAGGUUGGCUUGUUCUAGGGCUGCUUUCUUUGGGGUUUCGUGUGUAGGCUUUUCGCCGUUUGGUAAACAACCAUAUCUGCUUCAUCAGGUUCAUCUGCUUCCCAGAAAACGCGGUCAGGCUUGUUUGUUAGGGAUGGCAGCAAUACCUUCUCUUGCAACCGGGUUCUUGAUUUCUUCGGGUUAAGUCCAGAUGCUAUGCUAGGAUUUAUCUAUGGGCCUCUGGCUUUGGAUAGAUUAUGACUUGGGCCAGCCUGUUAAUGCCCUGUUUUAUCUCCAGUCCUUGGUUAAGCUAAGCUUGAGCUUUGAGUGUGUUUAUGGGUUGGGCUUAGCUAGUUUAGUUUGGGUAAGGGCUCUUAAGUGUGUCUCUUCUAUCCUUACUGGAUCCUAUUAUUUGAAUUGGCUCAAAC
rnacentral:misc_RNA from 1 species